UACGUAGGUGGCAAGCGUUGUCCGGAUUUACUGGGCGUAAAGAGCGCGCAGGCGGUCGUGCAAGUCGCGUGUGAAAGCCCCCGGCUCAACUGGGGAGGGUCACGCGAUACUGAUCGACUCGAAGGCAGGAGAGGGUAGUGGAAUUCCCGGUGUAGUGGUGAAAUGCGUAGAUAUCGGGAGGAACACCAGUGGCGAAGGCGACUACCUGGCCUGUUUCUUGACGCUGAGGCGCGAAAGCUAGGGGAGCAAACGGG
rnacentral:rRNA from 1 species